ACGUAAGUGAAACUGCCAACGGCCCAUUAAAUCCCUCUUGGUUCAUUCAGGUCCUUGCCAUAGCUAACGUGGAUAACUGUGGCAAUUCCAGAGAUAAUACAUGCGACCGACCGCCGACUCCGGGAGGCGCGCUUUUAUUGGUUCAAACCCGACCGGGCCUUCUCGGGCCCGUCUCUUUCGAUGACUCUGGAUAACCACGCGAAUCGCAGGCCUCGGCGGCGGCAACGCACCAUUCAAGUGUCUGACCUAUCAACUUUCGAAGGUAGGCUACGGGCUUACCUUUGUGAUAACGGGUGACGGGAAAUCAGGGUUCGAUUCCGGAGAGGGAGCCUGAGAAACGGCUACCACAUCCCAGGAAGGCAGCAGGCGCGCAAAUUACCCAUUCCCGACACGGGGAGGUAGUGACGAAAAAUAACGAUGCGGGACUCUAACGAGGCCCCGCAAUCGGAAUGAGCGCAUUCCAAAACUCUGGUCGAGUAUCCAUCGGAGGGCAAGUCUGGUGCCAGCAGCCGCGGUAAUUCCAGCUCCGAAAGUGUAUGCUAAAGUUGUUGCGGUUGAAAAGCUCGUAGUUGGAUGUAGAGCGCGCGGCGCCGGUCCGUCGCAGGGCGUGCACCGGCGUCGCGGGUUCCGCCUGUCGGCGCUCCCCGCGCUGCUCUUGACCGGGUGCCGCGGGGCGGCCGACUAGUUUACUUUGAAAAAAUUAGAGUGUUCAAAGCAAGCCGGCCGCCUGCAUAGUGUCGCAUGGAGUACGGAACAGGACCUCGGUCUC
rnacentral:rRNA from 1 species